UCUUUUUUUUUUUAAUUCUUUUUUCCUUUUUUUUGUUGGCUUUUGUUGUUGUUGGUUUUUUUAUUUUCUUUUUUUUUGCGCUGUGUCCGGAGCCCGGGGGCUGCGGACGCCAGCCGGGUGAUGGUCACCCCCGGCCGUGCUCCCCCCGCGGCCGUGCCCCGCCGUGGGCUGCAGGACCCCGCGUGUCCCCCCCAUCCCGGGGGGGCCCGGAGGAGCGGCGGGCGCAGCGGCAGGACCGGCGGCCUCGGGCGGGCGGACGAGCCCCGUUGCCGGGGCCGUGGUGUGUGUGGAAGGAGCGGGGCUGCGCCGGGACUGUCGGAGCACGGCGAGGGGCCCGGCCGAGCGGCACGGCACGCUCUGCUGUGCCGGAGGCAGCCGAACAAAGGCAACAUUAUACCCUGUGCCGGGGAAGGAAUGACUUGGACGCACACGCCGAGCCACUCCGCGUGCCUUAUAAAUAUCCCCGUCUGUAAAGCCCGAAGCCCAGCUGACCACAGCCACGCUGUCCGCCCAAUAAAUACGUGAAUGAAAGAGCCAGGCCCUAUUUUUUCUUGUUGUUUUCCUUCCUCUCCUGCACAAAAAUCCCCGAUGUCUUUUAGGUGAUGCAGAGGUGGCUGCCCGCAGACGUACAAGGCGUUUCAGAGUCCAGAGCGGAGCACAGCGUCCUCGAGGGCUGGAGCCUGCCAAGGGGUCAGGUCGGGAUGCAGAGGCAUGGGCCAGAGCAGAGCCAUGGUGGGUGGAUGAGAAGUUCCUCAGCUGCAUAAAGCAGCUUUUCUUUCCACGUGAGCACUGGUGGAUGCCACGGAGAACACGAGCUCUGUUUGUCCUCAAAGCCAGAGUGGCGUGGACACCUCCUGUCCCCCCACCAGCAUCCCUGUGCCCAGUCUGGGGUCAGGGGUUUGCUUUGGGACACGCUUCGUGCUGCACAAGCUGAAAGCAGACCCGGAGGGACAGAGCCGUGCUUGGAGAUGGCAGCGGAGGUGCUGUGCCAGGGCUGUGUGCUGGAGCCCUGCAGGAAGGGAGCAGCUGGAGCAGCCGGCAGUGAUGUGGAGCGGCCGGGGCAGCACCAGGGUGUAGAGCUGCCCCUGGGUUGGCACCGUGAGCGCAGCCCCUGGCCUGGUGUUCGCCUCCAGCCACUCCAAGCAGUGGGACAGCAUAAGUGACAAGAGGACCUGGGCGAGGUGAGUGGAGAAGGGCAAAGACCUCAAGGCGCCAAAGCCAGAAGAGCGUGGGCAAGCACCCGGGCACCGCAGUGGCCAGGAGUACCAUGGAUAGGAGUGGACUUUCCUCUGGCUCUGGAUAACAACUGAAGAGCUGCUGCCGCCUCUGCCCUGGCUAUGAAUCGACGUGUGAUACAAAUCCUCCAGCAGCUCCGGUUCCAGCUUCCAGCAGCGAUACGCUGGCAUCUUCUUUGCCACACCAGGACACCCAGCCUUGGCUGGUCACCAGUGACCCCAUGGGAAGUUCCCAGUGUGACCCGUGGCCAUGGUUUCCCUCUUCUGCAGUGUCUGAUCAGCGUGACGAUCCAGCACAGGGUGACAAAGCUCUGGUCCUGAGGCUGGCCCCGCUCUGGGCACGGCCGUUCCCUGCAGGGCACAGCCGCUCGCACAGGUUGACACCGCGGUGUGGGAGGGAUCCUGCUCGUGCUGUGGGGCCCGGUUCAGUUACCGCUCUGUUUAUUGUGAUGAAUAACUGGAGAAUGCUGAUCCCUUACACACCAACAUUUCAGCUGGACCUCGCCGGGGAGCGCAGGGGAAGGCGCUCAGCUGACAGCUCCGUGCACAGAGCGUGGUCCUGUAGCUCGAGUCCCAGUAACAGAUUGACACAGACCGUUGUGUUUUCUAAAGGUGUUUAUGGAAAUCUCCGGGAGCAGCUUUGCCAUGGUUUCAUCCCACCUUCCAGCGUGGUGCAGGAGACAGGACAGGAGGAUGUGACCUGCACGAGGAUGGACCCACAGGGGAGAUGCCUUUGCCAAAAGUGACAAUGGAAUGCUGACACCCACGGGCUGAGCAGAGCUGGACAGGACACCUGAUACUGGGCAGGGUGCAACGUGACCUCUUCCAACACCUUGUGGUCCCAGAAUUCACGGAUCAUCCCUCCUGGCCUGGCAAAAUUUGGGAGCGGAGAAAGGACAUGCAGCAUCCCGGGCAUCUGGUGGCUUUGGGGGCUUGACAGACCUCUCCUGCAGACACCUCAGUGGAACAGAGAACCGAAAUGGCCUUUUUUGUGUCCCCCACAUCUGCAAAGGGUGGCUCCCAGCAGCACUUGGGGCUGUGCUGGUGCCCACCACAGCAGCCCCUGCAUCUCCACUGGUGCAUCUGUGGGACAGGGAGAUGCUGCUGUACCAAAGAAAAAGGGACCAGUGGGAGCCUGAGGUCCCAGCGCCACCUCUCCUUGAGCAGCUCCUACAGGAGGGGUGGCUGGGGGGCUCCGAGAGUGAAGGACAGGAGAGAGAUGGGGACUGUCAAAGAUGUUCUGGAUGUUUCUUGCUGAACCCUCACCAUCUUCUCUGCACUUCCUGGAGGGAGGAGAGGGGAGAGUGAAGCACCCAAAAGAUUUGCUGUAUUUUUCUCUCUGGAUGAGAAGGAUGGGGCUGCUCAUCACCGAGGACGGCAGCAAGGCCAGGAGCUCUUGGUCCUCUGGGCAGAGCUCCCAUAAAAGUGACUCCUUGUUUCUGCUGGAGCAGUGUUGCCUUUGUGGGGUUUUGUUCCCGUUCCCUGCACAGUCCUGGUAACAUCCAACAGGCUGGAGAAGGACAGUCCUCCUUGGAGGUGAGAAGAGCCGUGUUCUGGGCAAAAAUGGAAGUGGAGCCAAGAGCCCUUCAUUCCUUCUGGGGUUCCCACAGUCUCUGCUUGUGUUUUGUUUUGGGAUCAACUGGGACAGAGGGGCUGGCUGGGUGUGCACCAUGUCUGCUCCUCUGGCUGCAGAGAUGCGCUCUGUCCCCGCUGCUGCCUCCAUAAUUCCCAAACUUUUCCAAGUUGCUGCACUGGCUCAGAAACCCUGCAUCACUGAGGGGUUCCUACCUAGGGAACCCUCCAAAGGGAGCACCAGGAUUUGGCAGCCGCUCACCUGCUUUUGGGAUAUCCUGGUGUGUGGCAGACCCUGAGCUCUCCUGGCCACGGGGGAAGCUCUCAGGGCGCUGGGUCUGUCGUGCUGGGUUUGGGGUCUGGCUCUGAGCACUGGGGGUGCGCACAGCACCCGCAUGCUCCAGGUGAGUUUGGGGGACAUGGAGGCCAGGGCAGGGCUGGCAGCUCUGGGUUCUCUGUGCCAGCAGGGCACAGGGAGAGCUCAGCACCACAGCCAGGGGUGGGCAAUGGGCACAGACCCCCGGCCUUUGAUCACACCCCGGGGCAGCGAUGGGCUCCUGGGGAGAGGGGCGUUCUCCCCGUGGAGCCAGCGCGGUGCCAGGGACGCUGCUGGCAGCCCGGGGUGCCCCUGCUCACCCUCUUCCCGUGCCCUUCUCCCGCCGCCGGGAGCAGCCCUUUCAUCUCCCGGGGAGGUACAAAUGGAGCUGUCAGAUGCCAUCAGCCCCGCGAUAUGACAGGUUGUGGGGCCGGGGCCCCUCGAACAGAGCAGCCUUGUCUGUCAGAGCCGCCUGACACUCCCCAUAAUGGCCAGAUGGAUGAGACUCUGAAAGUAGGGCCCGGCGCGUUUUCAACUCUAUUUUGGGUGAAAACACUUCUUGAAAGAUCUUGAAAGGAGCUGGCAGUUUAGUAGUUCAAAUGAUUAAUGAGCACUGGCUCUGCCGGGUGGAUUUCUCGCGCUGUGCCAGCAGCUGGGCUGCUCCAGCGGGCCAAGACACGCCGCGCUCCCCCCGCGCCCCCCGCGCCCCCGGCUCCCCCCGAGCCCCCCUGGUUUUCCCGGAAAUGACACCAACGCGACAGGCCCUGCAUAUGGAAAAAGUUAAAUAUAAAUUACUGCUGAAAGAGGCCUCGCUGAGCGGAGUUAGUUAAAGAUGUUUAUGGAUUCAGAAACACGGGCCUGCAUAUGUAUUUAGGGAUGACAAAUGUGAUUCAAUAAGUCAGGAAUUUCUCCGUGGGCUGAGGCGGGACCCGCGCGGCGCGGGCGCUGCUCUGGGCUCUCCGGCUCAGCGCCGUAAAUCCUGCAGACAGGCUCCUUGUUCCUUCCUGGCCUGCUUGGGACUGAUUUCUGCGUUUUCCCUGGAUCAGACCAAGUCGCUGCACCUCCUGUGCUUGGGAUGUGACAGCCCUGCUCCCUCCGUGGGGCGGGCUUGGGGGUGCUGGAUGCUCCGUGGGGGUCACUGGGGACCGCGCCGUCCACACCGCCAGCCACGUCCCUGUCCCUGAGCUCUCCAACCCGCCCCCCCCAGAGCCGCCGGACCCUUCGGGACUGUCAGCAGAUGAUUAAUGACCAACAACUCCAGAACUGCCCCAAUCACCAGUUUGGGGUUUGACCCGGCGCUUAAUGAGUUCAGCCCUAAUUCUGCAGCCCCUUCACGUGGGCAGCUGGGGGGGUCUCACGGAGCCUGGGGAGCACCCCCAAACUGCCUCACGUUCCCGCUGCUCUGUGGUGCCUUGCUUGGGGCGCACAUCAGGGACCACAACACACUGAAGCAGGAAACCCCUAAACUAAACUCCAGCUGCUGUGGUGGGAGCCAGGGAGGGAUGCCAGGUCUGUGGCAGGGAUGCCAGGUCGUGGCAGGGAUGCUGGGUUUGGGGUGACAACCCCCAGCAAAUCUGCAGCAAUGGGCAGUGCAGGAGCCACCCCCUUGGCUCCCCUCAUCCCACACCUCCGUGAGGCUCAGAGGGAAGUGCCUUUCGGGGGGUCAGCGCCCAGCCAGGCCUUGGACCCACAUCCACAUUCCUUUGUCCUGAUUUUAUUCGUUAGCAGCGUUUGGCCUGGAUAUGGAGACAGCUAAUGAGGGACAGAGUUUAUUGCAGUUUGAUUUUUCUGUUAAAACAAUACAAUAAAAUAAAUGCACUUGGAAA